AUUGGUUUAAAUCAAUUUAAGAAAGAAGGCCUUGGAAGGCCGCAAAUUUUGGUUUGUUAUUUACAUUAAAAUAUAUCGGGUCAGUGAUACCUUAUCAGUUAUAUUUUUAAGAGUCAAAAUUUGGAAUGAACAUGAAAUUGAACUAAAUCAAAUUUGAAAUCAAAUAAAAAUAACUAUGGCAAUCAAACCACAGUCAAUACGAUAUUCAGGACACAUUGAAAAAAUGGGAAAGGAAAUAUUGUCGAAAAUGGUAUGAUCAUGAAAGCCAAUACAAAAAA
rnacentral:lncRNA from 1 species